CUCAGCUUCAGAGCAGUGAAUCAGGUGAAACAGGCCUGGCUGCUCCUGGGUGUUCUUUCCCCACACAGCCAAGGAUGCAACUUCCCACCUCUAGAUUCCUGAGCAACGUGACAGGACGCCCCCCGAGGAUGUCUCCCACCCUGAGAUGCUGGGGUCCCUCCACAGACAUGUCAUCACACCAAGUUGACACCCGGGGCUUGGCAUCCUCCGCCUCGCCCACAGAAGCCCAGCUGGGGUGAUGGGGUUUAUCUCCAAGGCAAACAGAGCCACCCCCAUUAUCCAUGACUGGCUGUGUUUACUGAUGACAUCACAUCCAUCCCGGGCUUCCUGGUGGUGACUCAAGGGUGAGCUGCUGGUCAAGAUGAGUCUUGCUGGGACCCACCCAAACAGGCAAGCAUCUGGAGUCACCCAACUGGAGUGAAACCCUACAGGGUAGUUGCACAACCUGUGAGGGUGUGGAAAUUCCAUGUCUUUCGACCAACCAGGCUCGAGGCCUGAAGGUGAAGGGAAAGAACAUGCCAGCAGGUCUCUCUGUUGACAGUGGAGCCAAAACAGGCUGGAGAUCAAAGGCAGCCUGGCAGGGGAGAGGUGGGGAGAGGCACCUGCAGCCCCAGCACGUGAACCCGUGACCUUCCUGCAGCCUGGGGGCCCUGCAGUCCCUGGACAGGGCCACGGCCAGCCCCACACAGCUGCUUCUGACUCCUGCGUAUUUUGAGGGGGAGCCUGGCCGGAUAGCUGCCUCCCUGGAGAAAUGCCGUGAAAGGGGGCCCUCGCUGCCCUGGGGGUCAUCUGCAGGACUGUCCACCCUCCUUCCAAUUGAUCAGGACCCGGAGGCCCAGGGACAGAAUGUGACUUGCUCCAGAUCACCCAGGGGCUGUCAUCAUUAUACAGAAACGAAAUUCACCGGGCCUGCCGUCCAAUGCCCUUCCAGCCAUAUCGGGCAUGCUCUGUCCCCUUUCAAGGGCAGCAGGAGACUCCUGUCACCAAGCCACCGUGGGGACGGGGCCCAGGAGCCUAGGGCUACCCCGAUGUCGCGUCAGGAGACCACAGCCUGGAAACAUCACAAGGCACCAAUGCCAUUACUUUUUCCAGCUGUAUGGAGGAAGAAUUCCACUAAGGUUACACCCAAGAGUUGACCUAAGAGCUCAACAUCUAUCUCAGUCAGAAGGAAAGGAAAUACGCACAAAUAUUUGGUCUGCUUAAUAUCAAAGGUCUGAAUGACCUCAGGAGUUGUGGUACUUCGUUCCGAAAUCUCAUCUCCUUUCAUUUUUUGAAGAAAGCUGCUACUAUAGGUCGGAGAAGGCAAUGGCACCCCACUCCAGUACUCUUACCUGGAAAAUCCCAUGGACGGAGGAGCCUGGUAGGCUUCAGUCCAUGAGGUCACUAAGAGUCGGAUAUGACUGAGCGACUUCACUUUAACUUUUCACUUUCCUGCACUGGAGAAGGAAAUGGUAACCCACUCCAGUAUUCUUGCCUGGAGAAUCCCAGGGACGGGGGAGCCUGGUGGGCUUCCACACGACUGAAGUGACUUAGCAGCAGCAGCAGCAGCUACUAUAGGUUAAAUCCUCCAAGAAUGAUGAACUCAAUUACAGGCCUAGAGAUGGAUCUCUUAUUUUAGCUAAUAAUAAUGCAGGAACACUUUCUACUCAGGGCCCCUGGGGACAGUGCCAUUGUUUUUGUUUUUGUGGGAAUGAUGGCUGACUCAGAAGUGAAGCAGG
ensembl:lncRNA